AGCAGUGGGGAAUAUUGGACAAUGGGCGAAAGCCUGAUCCAGCAAUACCGCGUGUGUGAAGAAGGCCUUAGGGUUGUAAAGCACUUUCAAUUGGGAGGAAAACCUGCCGGUCAAUACCCGGUAGCUUGACAUUACCUUUAGAAGAAGCACCGGCUAACUCCGUGCCAGCAGCCGCGGUAAUACGGAGGGUGCGAGCGUUAAUCGGAAUUACUGGGCGUAAAGCGUGCGUAGGCGGUUCGUUAAGUCAGAUGUGAAAGCCCUGGGCUCAACCUGGGAACUGCAUUUGAAACUGGCGGACUAGAGUUUAGUAGAGGGGAGUGGAAUUUCAGGUGUAGCGGUGAAAUGCGUAGAUAUCUGAAGGAACACCAGUGGCGAAGGCGACUCCCUGGACUAGAACUGACGCUGAGGUACGAAAGCGUGGGUAGCAAACAGGAUUAGAUACCCCCUGGUA
rnacentral:rRNA from 1 species